ensembl:lncRNA HULC hepatocellular carcinoma up-regulated long non-coding RNA
UCCCGCGCAUGCUCUAUGGGGUAGAGACGCUAGGCCGGCACUGCCUAGGUGGGCCGGGCGGUGCGAGGGUCGCCUUUCAGCCUUUACCUCUACCCACUGAAAUGGAGUAGGUCGGUGAGCGCCGAUCUGCUGGAGAAUCUCAUUAUCCCAUCGGCGCUCUGCCUGCUCCUGGCCUCCAAGCCUCUGAAGCCCCUCGGGUUUCAGCUGCCGGCUACCCUCGAGCCCGUGGUGCCCACGAGAGAGGCGACUUUACGUCAGCGGCCCUGGGCUGAGAUUUGAGAACGCGACCAAGUGGAGAAUGUUGGAGCCAGAUUUUAAAAUCCUUGUCUUCCUUCUGCGUGCUACUUGAUCUAAAUGAGAUACGGCAAAGUCACAGAACCUGUUUUUAUGUUUUUGCCUGAUUCAUACGGGCUUCUCCGGUGAAGAUGGGCCUGAAGUAACGCUUGGGUUGCUUCUGACGUUAUAACUCAUCCUGUAGCUGCAGCAACCGUGGUCCUUGCAACCUCAUAAAAAUGUUGCCAGCAUUGUUUCGAUAGUGCUGCUUAAUUCUUGGAAGGUUCUUCGGACUUCACACAUUCCAGCAGUAGCUCUCUCAGCUCCUGUCCUGCACAGCUUUGAAGUGCUGAGAUGGGGUCUCCCUAUAUUGCCCAGGCUGGGCUUGAACUCCUGGACUUGAACGAUCCUCCAGCUUUGGCCUCCCAAAAUGCUGAGAUUACAGGCGUGAGCCACCAUGCUUGGCAGCUGAACGUCUUCAAAGUGUCUUCUGUAAAGACUUCUUCAGACUGUCAAUAGGAAGACUGAUAAACUCAGUUCAGAUGCGAGAGGAAAUCGAGUCAUCAUCAAUGGCACCUCAUGUUAGCCUGCCAUGGCAACAAGCUCAUUGAUUGAGUAAAAGAACUUUCAGAUGCACUAGCUGGUCUUUAACGGGUUGCUGAAAGCACAGAUAAGACGACUGAGGGAGCCGACUGAAUUUCCAUGGAUAUAUACAAAGGGAAUGGAAAAUCACAGUACGAUUUUUCAUUGGCUCCUGAUAGAGCUAGGUCCUUGUAUAAUUCUAAAACUGGUGUAUAAAACAAUGUCCACGCCAUUCAUUUUGGUUAUAACUAUUAAGGGGAAGGGAGAUGAUGUCUGUGGAAUUGCAAAGUAGUUUGCACUAGAAUUUUCUAUUACAUAUGCUCUAAUAGGAGUAUUUUCCUCUGUUACAUUAUGACUUAUGUAAUAAUAAUAGCUAAGGAUUACUGAGGGUUUUUAUUUUCUUUUCUGCAUGAUCUUGACCGUUUUUCGAAACAGUCCUUGUUGCUGGAUACUAUUUAUGUCACCAUUUUACAAAUGAGAAUGCCAAAGUUCAGAGUGACAUCCAUCUAAAAGAGGCCAGUUUCAGCCUUGAACCCAUUAUACUCUAAUCCCAUUUUCAAAGUAACUCUUGGUUUUCUCAAAAGGCCUUUAAAUGUAUGGAUAAGCCAAUAUGAGGGCAGCAAUGUUGUGGUUAAGUGUGUGCACUUUGGUUGGACUCUGCCGAAGGCCAGCACCACCAUUUAGUAGCUAUGUGAACCAGUGAGUUACUUAAAACCUAUACCUCCACUUCCUCAUCUGCAAAAUGGGGUUGUGGUAAGGCUGGAAUAAGUUAAUGCAUGUAGCAUGUUGAGAAGGCACUGUCUAAGCGCAUGGCACAUGGUAAGCAUGUAGGAAACAGCAACACAUGCCUGGGUCUGAGUUCUGCUCUGUCAUGAUGAUUGGUGCCCAACGGGAAAAGCUCUUCCGCACCAGCGUUUUACAAGCCUAGCUCCUCCUUUUCCAAAACAAGUUCCCAGGCCAUGGUCAAUAUCAACAUUCAGGGGAAAUACAUUCUGUUCAUUGUAGAUAUGACAGUGAGAAUAUUUGCUGAAUAACAAUUAAGCUAUCUGAUUGCGUAAUAGUUAAAAGGUUUGUUUUUACCAUCUGUGAAUUAAAGCCAAAAAUAACAACCAAUUCAUAGAAUAUUGUGACGGUUAUAGGAGAUGCAGCUUGUCAGCUGCUCAGCUCAGCGGCCUGGGCAUGAUUAGAAUUCCACACAUAAUAGUGAUUACCAUCAGUAUUAUUAUUAUUAAGGCAACACAGUGAUCGUAGUAAUGGUAAAACAGAGAGAUCUACCUAAUCCAAAAUUCUAUUCAACAAGGGAGUUUCUACAUAUAGCCACUAUGGUUUCUAAUUUUCAAAGAAUCAGCAUAUAAUAAAAUGCUCUCAAUAAUAAAGCUGAACUGAAUAUAUUAUAAUAACUUAAUGAGGCAGAAGACAUUUGAGAUGCCUCAAUUAUCAAUGUGUUUCACAGAUUCAAAAGUGUAACUUUAUACAUUUAUUCAAUAGAUAAAACACUGACUAGGUCCGCUUAAAGUUGAAAUAGAUUUUUGGAUUCUCUCAAAGUAUAGGGCAAUAACAAAUAUAGAAGUUUUCUGAAAAAAAAUAAGCAAAAUAGAAAUAGUACUAUUAUUAGUUUUAAAAUAUUAUAAAAGAAUUUUAAAUGAGACAAAAAUAAUAUGAUGGCAAUAUAUGGCCUUUUACAAAGAGAGGAACUGAGGCAGGGAGGAGAAAUAAUUCUAGAAUGACAUGCUGGUUAGAGGUAUGAUGUGUCGGACCACAAGAAUGAUGUGAUUCUGACUUUUCCUUUAUUUACAAAUCACUUUGGAUAAACCGAUGGCUCUUGCUGAGCCCCUGGGUUGGUGGAGGAGUAACAUGCCUGGGAGUCGAGCAUCCUAAGACGUGCACCCUGAGGACUGCAGGAAAAGUGCAGAAAUUAGGUAGAAAUAGGGCUUGUUUAGCAUUCAUGAUGGCUAGGUGUCUUACUGCAGGUGUCUUAAGAAACUACCCAGUAACUCACUGAACCAGCAACUCUGUGCAUGGCCUCCUGAGAGGUGAGGGACACAAAGAUUUUAUCAAGAGUGAAGCAUGUGUCUGUGUUCAAGUAUCUUGCAAAAUGAAGACAAAAGAAGUAGUUUGCAAUUAGCUCUUAGUUCCUACCUUUCAAAGAAGCAUCCGCCAGUCAGGUGAGAUGAAACUGACCAUGAAGAGAAGCUUGUAUCUGUAUAAAAUGCAAACCUGUUUGGACAGCGGAAUGGGGUUUGCUUCAAACUUCAGGGUGCAUUUAUAUAAAGCAACA